CGCCGAACCCGCGGCGGCCGUCAUGACUCCCACUUGGCGUUGCCGGGAAGCCUGCAACAGGAGCUCAGCCAUUGUGUGGGUCACAUGACUCUGGCGCCCAAGGAGGUGGAUCCGGUCGCCGUCAUGAUAGAGAAGGGCUGAGAACUCCUUCUCUCAAGACAAUACAUGCGAAACAGUUCAUUGGGUGUAGAAAGUUCUCUGCUUGUGACCUGGGAAAGC